rnacentral:rRNA from 1 species
CCUACGGGAGGCAGCAGUAAGGAAUAUUGGUCAAUGGAGGCAACUCUGAACCAGCCAUGCCGCGUGCAGGAUGACGGCCCUAUGGGUUGUAAACUGCUUUUAUACAAGAGAAAACCCUGGUACGUGUACCAGGUUGAUAGUAUUGUAAGAAUAAGCAUCGGCUAACUUCGUGCCAGCAGCCGCGGUAAGACGAAGGAUGCAAGCGUUAUCCGGAUUCAUUGGGUUUAAAGGGUGCGUAGGCGGACUGAUAAGUCAGUGGUGAAAUCUCUUUGCUUAACAAAGAAACUGCCAUUGAUACUGUCGGUCUAGAGUAUAGAUGACGUUGGCGGAAUAUGACAUGUAGUGGUGAAAUACUUAGAUAUGUCAUAGAACACCGAUUGCGAAGGCAGCUAACGAAACUAUAACUGACGCUGAGGCACGAAAGUGCGGGGAUCAAACAGGAUUAGAUACCCUGGUAGUCCGCACCGUAAACGAUGAUUACUCGUUGUUGGCGAUAUGANAUNAGCGACAGACGAAGACGAGUAAGUAAUACCGACCGACGGGAGGUACGACCGGACGACGUACGAACGUACGAAGUAGAGUAGACGGACGNGAGACGNGACGACGGACGACGACGAGGGAGGAGG